rnacentral:siRNA from 1 species
UGUAGAAGUCGAGAUGCAAGCGCU